rnacentral:rRNA from 2 species
UACAGAGGGAGCAAGCGUUAUUCGGAAUUAUUGGGCGUAAAGGGCGCGUAGGCGGCCCAGCAAGUCUUGGGUGAAAUCCCUCGGCUCAACCGAGGAACUGCCCUGGAAACUGCUGGACUUGAGGCCGGGAGAGGGUGGUGGAAUUCCCAGUGUAGCGGUGAAAUGCGUAGAUAUUGGGAGGAACACCAGUGGCGAAGGCGGCCACCUGGACCGGUUCUGACGCUGAGGCGCGAAAGCGUGGGGAGCAAACAGG